CGAGGCCCCCGUAAUUGGAAUGACUACAAUUUAAAUCCUUUAAGAAGGAUCCAUUGGAGGGCAAGUCUGGUGCCAGCAGCCGCGGUAAUUCCAGCUCCAAUAGCGUAUAUUAAAGUUGCUGCAGUUAAAAAGCUCGUAGUUGGAUCUCAGUUACAGGCAGGUGGUUCACUUUACAGUGUUACUACCUGAACUGAACCUAUUGCUGGAUCUCAUGGGUGCCCUUCACUGGGUGCCCAUUGAGGACAGACGUUUUACUUUGAGAAAAUUAGAGUGCUCAAAGCAGGCGAAUGCCUGAAUAGUUGUGCAUGGAAUAAUGAAAUAUGGCCUCGGUGUUGUUUUGUUGGUUCACGAUGCUCGAGGUAAUGGUUGAAAGGGACUGACGGGGGCAUUCGUAUUGCGACGUUAGAGGUGAAAUUCUUAGAUCGUCGCAAGACGGACUACUGCGAAAGCAUUUGCCAAGAAUGUCUUCAUUAAUCAAGAACGAAAGUCAGAGGUUCGAAGGCGAUCAGAUACCGCCCUAGUUCUGACCUUAAACGAUGCUAACUGGCGAUCCAGGAGGGGUAUUUAAAUGACCCUCUGGGCAGCUUCUGGGAAACCAAAGUUUUUGGGUUCCGGGGGAAGUAUGGUUGCAAAGCUGGAACUUAAAGGAAUUGACGGAAGGGCACCACCAGGAGUGGAGCCUGUGGCUUAAUUUGACUCAACACGGGAAACCUCACC
rnacentral:rRNA from 1 species